UAAUACGUAGGGAGCAAGCGUUGUUCGGAUUUACUGGGCGUAAAGCGUGCGUAGGUGGCUGUAUAAGUCAACGGUGAAAUCUCUACUUUCAAGGUAGAAACUGCCGUUGAUACUGUAUAGCUAGAGGGUAAGAGAGGGAAAUGGAACUCUGGGAGUAGCGGUAAAAUGCAUAGAUAUCCAGAGGAACGCCAGUAGCGAAGGCGAUUUCCUGGCUUACUUCUGACACUGAAGCACGAAAGCUAGGGGAGCGAUCGGGAUUAGAGACCCCGGUAGUCCUAGCCGUAAACGAUGGGUACUAAGUGUGGGAGGAGAAUUACCUUCCGUGCCGAAGCUAACGCGUUAAGUACCCCGCCUGGGGAGUACGGUCGCAAGACUG
rnacentral:rRNA from 1 species